rnacentral:rRNA from 1 species
GUCCUCUUGUAUUUAUAUGAGGUCUGACCUGCCCAGUGAAUAUUUAACGGCCGCGGUAUUUUGACCGUGCAAAGGUAGCAUAAUCAUUAGUCUUUUAAUAGAAGACUGGAAUGAAAGGUUUAACGAAUUAUUAACUGUCUCAUUUGUAUAAUUUAAAAUUUAAUUUUUAAGUUAAAAAGCUUAAAUUGAGUUGUAGGACGAGAAGACCCUAUAGAGCUUUACAUUUUAUUUUUUAAUGUUUUUUUGUUUAAUAAAUAUACAUUAAAAUUUUAAUGUUUUGUUGGGGUGAUAAAAUUACAUGAAAAACUUUUUUAUUUUUAAACAAUUAUUUUUGAAUAUUUGAUCCAUUAUUAUUGAUUAAUAGAUCAAGUUACCUUAGGGAUAACAGCGUAAUCUUCUUUUGGAGUUCAAAUUUAUAAGAAGGCUUGCGACCUCGAUGUUGGAUUAAGAUAAUAAUUUGGUGUAGUAGUUAAAUUAAUAGGUCUGUUCGACCUUUAAAAUCUUACAUGAUCUGAGUUCAGACCGG